rnacentral:lncRNA from 1 species
AAAAAUAAAAAAAAAUUAGCCUGUUAUUACAAAUAUGCAGGCCCGACCUUUAGCAUGAGCAAGAAGUGCUAUAGCACGGGCCCCAAAUUUUGACGGGCCCACAUAUUUUUUUCAAUUACUACAAAUAUAUAUUUUACACCUGUUAUUUUAAAAAUAGGUGUUAAAUCAUAAUGUUUUCAAAAUCUAUUUUACAUCUGCUUGUUAAAAAUAGGUGUAAAAAUAUAUUUUAUUUUCAAAAUUUAUAAUUUUGUACAGUUUUUU